AGCGAACGCUGGCGGCAGGCUUAACACAUGCAAGUCGAGCGGACCUUUCGGGGUCAGCGGCGGACGGGUGAGUAACGCGUGGGAACGUGCCUUCCGGUUCGGAAUAACCCUGGGAAACUAGGGCUAAUACCGGAUACGCCCUUAUGGGGAAAGGCUUACUGCCGGAAGAUCGGCCCGCGUCUGAUUAGCUAGUUGGUGGGGUAACGGCCUACCAAGGCGACGAUCAGUAGCUGGUCUGAGAGGAUGAUCAGCCACACUGGGACUGAGACACGGCCCAGACUCCUACGGGAGGCAGCAGUGGGGAAUAUUGGACAAUGGGCGCAAGCCUGAUCCAGCCAUGCCGCGUGAGUGAUGAAGGCCUUAGGGUUGUAAAGCUCUUUUAUCCGGGACGAUAAUGACGGUACCGGAGGAAUAAGCCCCGGCUAACUUCGU
rnacentral:rRNA from 1 species